rnacentral:rRNA from 1 species
GAUGAACGCUAGCGGCAGGCUUAAUACAUGCAAGUCGAGGGGCAGGGGGUAGCAAUACGCCGGCGACCGGCAAACGGGUGCGGAACACGUACACAACCUUCCUCUAAGUGGGGGAUGACCAAGAGAAAUUUGGUUUAAUACCCCGUAACUUACUGAUGUGGCAUCAAAUAAUUUUUAUAGUUUUACCGCUUGGUGAGGGGUGUGCGGCUGAUUAGGUAGUUGGCGGAGUAGUAGCCCACCAAGCCUACGGUCAGUAGCUGAUGUGAGAGCAUGAUCAGCCACACGGGCACUGAGACACGGGCCCGACUCCUACGGGAGGCAGCAGUAAGGAAUAUUGGACAAUGGACGCAAGUCUGAUCCAGCCAUGCCGCGUGAAGGAUUAAGGCCCUCUGGGUUGUAAACUUCUUUUACAGGGGACGAAAAAAGGGCUUUCUAGCUCGACUGACGGUACCCUGUGAAUAAGCACCGGCUAACUCCGUGCCAGCAGCCGCAGUAAGAC